UCAUGAAGAAAAUGCAAGCUGGUAAAUAAAAAUCAUUAUUUUUAAGCNUAAAGAACUUGGCGGUGUUUUAUNUAAUCAGGGGAACCUGUUCCUUAAUUCGAUAGUACACGAACAUCUUUCCACUAUUUGAAAUUCAGCAUGUGUACUGCCGUCAAAAAUAUACCUUAAAAAGAGUAUAUAAUAAUAAUAUUAUUAUCAAAUAUGUCAGGUCAUAGUACAGCUAAUAUAGUGGUGGAAAAUAUGGGUUACAUUCAAUAUAUAGAUCCAACAACAGACUUAAAACCUGUCAAAAGCUGGACUUGAUAGUAAUGAUUGGAAAAUAUACAACCAUGAAAAUAGAUCUAAAACAUGCACAAAUCGCCCGUCACUCUCAUCGAAAGACG
rnacentral:rRNA from 1 species